rnacentral:rRNA from 1 species
UGGGGAAUUUUGGACAAUGGGCGCAAGCCUGAUCCAGCCAUGCCGCGUGCGGGAAGAAGGCCUUCGGGUUGUAAACCGCUUUUGUCAGGGAAGAAAUCUUCUAAGUUAAUACCUCGGGAGGAUGACGGUACCUGAAGAAUAAGCACCGGCUAACUACGUGCCAGCAGCCGCGGUAAUACGUAGGGUGCAAGCGUUAAUCGGAAUUACUGGGCGUAAAGCGUGCGCAGGCGGUUUUGUAAGACAGAGGUGAAAUCCCCGGGCUCAACCUGGGAACUGCCUUUGUGACUGCAAGGCUUGAGUGCGGCAGAGGGGGGAUGGAAUUCCGCGUGUAGCAGUGAAAUGCGUAGAUAUGCGGAGGAACACCGAUGGCGAAGGCAAUCCCCUGGGCCUGCACUGACGCUCAUGCACGAAAGCGUGGGGAGCAAACAGGAUUAGAUACCCCUGGUAGUCCACGCCCCUAAACGAUGUCAACUGGUUGUUAGGGAAGGUUCCUUCUCAGUAACGUAGCUAACGCGUGAAGUUGACCGCCUGGGGGAGUACGGCCGCAAGGUUGAAACUUAAA